rnacentral:rRNA from 1 species
GAUGAACGCUGGCGGCGUGCCUAAUACAUGCAAGUCGAGCGAACACACGAGGAGCUUUCUCCUUUGACGUUAGCGGCUGACGGAUGAGUAACCCGUGGAUAACCUACCUCUAAGUCUUGGAUAACUUCGGGAAACCGGAGCUAAUACUGGAUAAUAUAUUCAACCGCAUGGUUCAAUAGUGCAUGACGGUUUUGCUGUCACAUCUAGUUGAAUCCGGGCUGCCUUAUCUAGUUGGUAAGGUCACGGCGUACCAAGGCAACGAUGCGUAGCCGACCUGAGAGCGUGAUCGGCCACACUGGAACUGAGACACGGUCCAGAAUCCUACGGGAGACAGCAGUAGGGAAUCUUCAGCAAUGGGCGAAAGCGUGACGGAGCAACGCCGCGUGAGUGAGGAAGGACUUCGGAUUGUAAAACUCUGUUAUUAGGAAAGAACAACUGUUUGAGUAAAAAUACACGUCUUGACGGUACCGAAGCAAUAAGCCACGGCUAACUACGUG